rnacentral:tRNA from 1 species
GAGAAAGUCACAUAAAAGUUAUGAGGUUGGCUUGAAGCCAGUUGUUGGGGGUUUGAUUCCUUCCUUUCCUG